GAUGAACGCUGGCGGCGUGCCUAAUACAUGCAAGUCGAGCGAACAGAUAAGGAGCUUGCUCCUUUGACGUUAGCGGCGGACGGGUGAGUAACACGUGGGUAACCUACCUAUAAGACUGGGAUAACUUCGGGAAACCGGAGCUAAUACCGGAUAACAUUUCGAACCGCAUGGUUCGAUAGUGAAAGAUGGUUUUGCUAUCACUUAUAGAUUGACCCGCGCCGUAUUAGCUAGUUGGUAAGGUAACGGCUUACCAAGGCGACGAUACGUAGCCGACCUGAGAGGGUGAUCGGCCACACUGGAACUGAGACACGGUCCAGACUCCUACGGGAGGCAGCAGUAGGGAAUCUUCCGCAAUGGGCGAAAGCCUGACGGAGCAACGCCGCGUGAGUGAUGAAGGUCUUCGGAUCGUAAAACUCUGUUAUUAGGGAAGAACAUACGUGUAAGUAACUGUGCACGUCUUGACGGUACCUAAUCAGAAAGCCACGGCUAACUACGUG
rnacentral:rRNA from 1 species